UAGGGAAUCUUCCACAAUGGACGCAAGUCUGAUGGAGCAACGCCGCGUGAGUGAAGAAGGUUUUCGGAUCGUAAAGCUCUGUUGUUGGUGAAGAAGGAUAGAGGCAGUAACUGGUCUUUAUUUGACGGUAAUCAACCAGAAAGUCACGGCUAACUACGUGCCAGCAGCCGCGGUAAUACGUAGGUGGCAAGCGUUGUCCGGAUUUAUUGGGCGUAAAGCGAGCGCAGGCGGAAUGAUAAGUCUGAUGUGAAAGCCCACGGCUCAACCGUGGAACUGCAUCGGAACUGUCAUUCUUGAGUGCAGAAGAGGAGAGUGGAACUCCAUGUGUAGCGGUGGAAUGCGUAGAUAUAUGGAAGAACACCAGUGGCGAAGGCGGCUCUCUGGUCUGCAACUGACGCUGAGGCUCGAAAGCAUGGGUAGCGAACAGGAUUAGAUACCCUGGUAGUCCAUGCCGUAAACGAUGAGCGCUAGGUGUUGGAGACUUUCCGGUUCUCAGUGCCGCAGCAAACGCAUUAAGCGCUCCGCCUGGGGAGUACGACCGCAAGGUUGAAAC
rnacentral:rRNA from 1 species